CAUUUCAGGAUUGAAUCUAACACCAGCCUGUUCACAGGAUGUUCCUUACACUCAACAUCUACACUCAGAAAUUCAAAAAUAAGAGAUUGGUUUUGGUGCCUUUUCCUUCCUGAAGCAUCUUGCAUUUUCUCCAGAAGCGUCUGGAAUGUUCUAAGUCUCAUUAUUUGAAGUCCACGUAUCUUAAUAAUAUUGACCUGAUAGACCUAUACCCAUGCUUGAAAAAAGCACCUUUUCCAUCUGCUGCUUCAUGGAAAUGACUCUGUCUUUAUUCUUCACCUUUGGAGACAACCUGCCAAGGAAUUAACGAGGGCAAGCAUUUCUACCCAGCAGGAAGAAAUUGGAAGCACUCUCUGUGUUCAUUGUUCAAAGCAAUUGAUUCAGUCUCGAGAAGGCAAACUGACUGCUGACGCUGGUCUGUGCAAUGACUCACCUUGGCAUCAGCACUCAAUGUUGAAGAUCAGUGGGCCUGCGCGACCAAUGUGAAGCCACCCAGGCGAAGAAGAGAGGCGAAUAAUGCACUUAAUUAAUUAAGGGACAGUUUGAUAUUUGAAGAAUGUGAUAUUUUGUUCACAACAUUAAAAAAAAAACCACUGACAUGAUCUGAAUUCUCUAUAGUGGUGGGUAUAAGGUCGUGAAUGUUUAGAGGCAUAGUUAAUUCACUGAAAAAUCUGAGAAGGAAUGCAAAUAGGGGACAGACAGAACAACUUCGUAGUUAAGAGUUGUACUGUGUUUACAGAGGACCCAAAUUCCACUCUCUGCCUCCUCGUCAGGUAGCUCACAAUUCCUAUAAUUCUAGCUCCAGGGGGAUGUGAUGCUUUUGUCCUCUCUGGGCAUCUGCAUUUAUGGACACACAUCCACACACACAUAUACCCCCACAUACUAAAACGUCACGAAGAAGGCAAAUGAUACUAAAUAACUUAGAGUUUUUCUUUUUGUGUAACUACCAAUGGAAGGCAAAGAUCUUUUGAAGUCUGAUAUACCUGAGACAUACACAUAUAAAAACAGCAAAAAAAAAUUAGUAAUCUUUGAGACACAUACAUUUAUUCUUCACUUGCAAGUGUCUUUGUUGUCAUAAUAUAUUUUCUACUAAUACUAGUUUAGUUUUCGUGUUGAUGGAUCAGAUGCUCCACUGAUUAGUUUCAGAGAGAUUAUAUAAAUCAGAGGUGUGUGAGAUGUGGUUCUGGGGUCAUGCCCCAGAGUUUAGAAGUGUGGAAUGGAUUCCAGCUUGCUGCGUGUUUAAAAUCUGCCUAGCACGAUUCUUGGGCACUUUAGGUACACUAGAACCUAGCUCUUCCAGAGUUAGUCCCCAUCUACCCCAUCAGGCUCUCUCUUGGAGUGGGAUGCUCUCCCUUCCCUGGGCUGUUUAUAUCCCUGGGGAUUGGAAGCUGUCUAAGUAUAAUCACAUAGCAUAACUUAUAUAUUAAUUAAGCAUACUUCCGCCUGAAGGCUCUCCCCUUCCCCAUGCGGAAACCUUUAAGAGUAGACACUUGGCUUUGUGCAGUGAAACGGAAGCUUCUUGCUUAUGAUCCCUGAAUCCUGCCUGCUGAGGUAUUAAUAAAUCUCUCCUCUAGAGGACAUGUCAGUCAAGGACCUCUCUUUCUCAGUCCCUCUUGUCUAUGCUCAGAAACCCCUCGGAGCAGUUAAUUAUUUGCACAUCACUGGUCUGAAGGGAGCCUUACUUUAGAAUUUUGUUGCUUUUGUAAACCUAGAGGUUGUGGUCAAAGUUAACACGAGUACAAAAAUUUAUUUGGGCAUAGAAUAAGUGCAAAUAUGGAAGCUUUACUUAGAUCAGUGUUUCUCAGCCUUCCUAAUGCUGUGACUUUUUCUUAUCGUUCCUCACGUUGUGGAGACCCCAACCAAAAAAAUAUUGCCGCUACUUCAUAACUGUAAUUUAGCUACUGGUUUUGAAUCACACUGUAAGUAUAAUAAGUUUUAUAAUAAGUAGAAAUAUGAAUAGUUUUGGAGAUGGAGAUUGGCCAGAGUGAUUGCAACCCACUUUGAAUCAGUUGAGAACCACUGAUUUACAUGGACUCAGCAUUUUCUGAGAGAGAGAGAGAGAGUAAGGCUUGGUCUCUAAAAAGAAGUGGAAGCCUGUGGUUUGGCAUUUGUUUUGGGACCCAGGACAGACAGGACCCAAGCAGGCUUAACAGAUAAAACCGACUCAGAUUGAGUUUGCUCUGAAUGUUUUAAAUGCCUUGUGAUACCUAGGUGAGGGUGCAAACUUGGUCACUCUGCGUUUCUCAGACAUUGUGAAGUGUCAUCAGAGGGUAAAAAGAGUUCCCUGUGUUGGCUUUGGUUCUGACCAGGAUGGACGUAGGCGACACAUUUCCUCCUGGGAAGCAUCUGACGCUCAGGAGUCUUGUUCCCUCUUUGAUUUCUGUAUUAUCAUUUCAACAAAGACGCUAAGAUCUAAGGGAAUUUGGACUAUGACACACACAUACAAAUCCUAGAAUGAGACUGUCGAUAAUGACAAUAUGGGCUGCUUAUUGAAUUUCUCUUUCUUUUUGUUUUUUUUGGGACAGGAUUUGUCUGUGUAGUCUUGGCUGUCCCAGAACUCACUCUGCAGAUUGGGCUGGCCUCAAAUUCACAGACAUCUGCUGGCCUCAACCUCCUGGGUUGUGAUACCCAGGGGUGCUGGGGUUAAAGGCAUGCCGUCACUGUCCAGUAUAACUUUAAUUUAAAAAAAAACCUUUUUUAAAAUGAUGGUUCCACCUGAAAUAGUGGACAAGAAAGGAUGCAGGGGAAGUGGACUUGCUUUGAAAGGUUCUUUGGAGCAACUCCUGUCUGUGUUGUCUGGAAAUGGGUAGUUGAGUUCACAGGCUAGCAGCAGCAGCCCCAUCCACUCACAAACACUUCACAGAUACAACAGUCUAGUUUGCUAGAGUAGGGCUAGCAAACAUGAGUCAGCAGUGGUGACACUACCUAGCAGAGACAGCCAGGCCUCAGACUCCGCCUAGGUCAGCAGGAGGGACCAAGAGGAACAGCAGGAGAAGUUCUUGACUGUGCCUCUCUCAGAUAAGUGAAGGCCAGUGAAGACGAGACUCACAGCAUUGCAUAGCUAGCUCUGCCAGUGAGUCAAGCUCAGCCUCUGUUGCUGUCAGUCCAGUCUUACUCCUACCCUCCACACAUCACGUGUCCUCCAUGAGUCUGGUCUUAGCUUGUGCGUCUGUCUCAGCCGCCAUCACUCUGCCAAUCAGCCUGAGUAGUCUGAAGCGGCAAGAAACCGCAGCACAGCACAGGAAGUUUCCUGGUGCAUUUUUCUUACGGAGUUCUGACAAAUGUAGGUCAACUACGUAAUGUAAGGCGGACCAAUAUGUGUGUGUUGUUAGUAAAGAGUCCUUUGUCAUGUGUCCUUUCACAUGCUUGCUUUAGCAGGACAUCCCUUUACCUGUGUCCACUUCAGCUAAACGUUCUUCAUGAGUCUGCCUUAGUCUUUCAGCUGUGUCUACUUCAGCUAAACAUUCCUUCCCGUGUUUGCCCUGGCAAAACAUUAUCCAACUGACUGUCCAAAGAGCUCUUAAAGUUUUACUUCACCCCAGCAACUUUAUGUAUUUAAAAUUUCAUUUUUUUUUCUGAAAGGGUACUGUGAUUUUGGAGGAAAAAGCGAGCUGGUAUGUGCACAUGAAGAUUCUUUUUAGUCCAACCUUCCUGCAGCCACCCCCCCCCCCCAUAAAAUGGAGACGAAACGACACUAAACUGAUUUCAAUAUUCACUCCAAGAAUAACUAAUCUUCCUUAUAAUGUAGUUUUUCUGAGUUCAGUGGGCCCCACUCUCUAGGCCAGUUGUCACCUACUGCUUUGUAGCCCACAGCGUUUUCUGGAUGGGUAGCUUGACUCCCUGAAAACCUUCAGAGAAGUCCUCCAUUCUGGCUCCUGGAAGUCUGCUGUGAAGCUGUAGCCUGGGUUGCUUCCUCCCAAGAGCUCUGAGGAAGAAAGUGUUCUAUUCUCUCCUCCAAAUAGCCUGCGGGUUUUGAGUGAUCUCUGCCUUGAAGAAGCAUCGCCUGCAUCUACAGCAUUAUCUUCUCACAGACUGCUCCCUGUGUGCCAGCUUCUUCACUCACACAUUCUCUUUUCACCAGAAAACGACUUGUAUUCCAUUAGGGCCUAAACCAAAGACGCCAUUUUUUUUGAGUUUUAAUAUCUUUUUUUUCUCCAUCUUUAUUAAAUUGGGUAUUUCUUAUUUACAUUUCAACUGUUAUUCCCUUUCCCGGUUUCCAGGCCAACAUCCCCCUAGCCCCUCCCCCUCCCCUUCUAGAUGGAUGUUCCCCUCCCUAUCCUCCCCCCAUUACUGCCCUUCCCCUAGUAAUCACGUUCACUGGGGGUUCAGUCUUGGGAGGACCCAGGGCUUCCCCUUCCACUGGUGCUCUUACUAGGCUAUUCAUUGCUACCUAUGAGGUCAGAGUCCAGGGUCAGUCCAUGUAUAGUCUUUAGGUAGUGGCUUAGUCCCUGGAAGCUCUGGUUGCUUGGCAUUGUUGUUCAUAUGGGGUCUCAAGCCCCUUCAAACUCUUUCAGUCCGUUCUCUGAUUCCUUCAACGGGAGUCCCAUUCUCAGUUCAGUGUUUUGCUGCUGGUAUUCGCCUCUGUAUUUGCCAUAUUCUGGCUGUGUCUCUCAGGAGAGAUCUACAUCUGGUUCCUGUCAGCCUGCACUUCUUUGCUUCAUCCAUCUUAUCUAGUUUGAUGGCUGUAUAUGUAUGGGCCACAUGUGGGGCAGGCUCUGAAUGGGCAUACCUUCAGUCUCUGUUCUAAACUUUGUCUCCCUAUCCCCUCCGAAGGGUAUUCUUGUUGCCCUUUUAAAGAAGGAGUGAAGCAUCGGCAUUUUGGUCAUCCUUCUUGAGUUUUAUAUGUUCUGUGAAUCUAGGGUAAUUCGAGCAUUUGGGCUAACAGCCACUUAUCAAUGAGUGCAUACCCGUUCUGUGAUUGGGUUACCUCAUUCAGGAUAUUUUUCAGUUCCAUCCAUUUGCCCACGAAUUUCAUAAAGGCAUUGUUUUUGAUAGCUGAGUAAUAUUCCAUUGUGUAGAUGUACCACAUUUUCUGUAUCCAUUCCUCUGUUGAAGGGCAUCUGGGUUCUUUCCAGCUUCUGGCUAUUAUAUAUAAGGCUGCUAUGAACAUAGUAGAGCAUGUGCAAAGACGCCAUCUUAACCAAUUACAGUUAUGGCCACUUUAUUUCUGACAAGCUCCUGCUCUGAUAGAUUGGGAGUUAGAACAUCAGUAUAUGAAUGUUUGUGGAGCAAAUUCAGUCCCUGAUACCUUGUAAUCAAGUCAUCUUUAGCAUGAAAGAGAGGGAUAUGUUUGAAGAUAAUGUGAAUUGUACCUGUCAGAAGUAAAAGUACCCCCCCUCCCCUUAGGCCUGGGCAUGCUUGGGAUGGUACUUUGAAUGUGUUGAGUAUUUCUAUCAAAUAAAUUUGAUUACAUUGAUUUUUAGAUUUAUUUUACUUUUUAAAAUUGUGUGUGUGUGUAUGUGUGUAUGUGUAUGUAUGUAUGUGUGUGUGUGUGUAUAAACUAUAGGUGCCAGAGGAGGUCAGAAGAUGCCGACUCUGGAGCUGGGGUUACAAGGGGUUAAACCGCCUGAUGUUGGAAGAUGGGAAACAAGGUAGGGUCCUUUGCAGGAGCAGCACCUACUCUUUAGCAUGAGUCACCCCUGGUUAUAUCUGUUAUUGAUGUGGUCUUGAAAAUGCGAUUGUCUCCAGAACUAAUUGUAUUAACCAUAGAAAGUUUUUAGAGAAGACAGGUUCCAUUUGUUUGUUUGUUUGUUUACUUAAGUGUUUUCAUUUUUCAUGUGUUUGUUUCUACAGGGGUAGAGCAAAGCUGUGUUCAGGAUAUGAACAUUGGUGCUCUGUGUGGAAUGAAAAUAAUAGCUUUUCGUUUUGCAAAAGCAUAUUUUUUUGACUUACCCUUACAUGUCUGUCUACUUCAGAAAAUAAGUAAAAUUAUAGCUCCUUCAAAUUUCGAAAGAUUUAGAGUCUCCAGCAAUUUCCUGGGAUUUUAAAGUCUAUAGAACUCCUUAUUCUGUUCCCCCGGCCCUCUUCCUCCUCUUCUUCCUCUUCUUGUUCAUCAUCAUUUAGAAUAUUAGAUAGCAGCAUAAUAUUGGACUAGGCUUGGUGAGAAACCUUGACGUUCUCAAGUCAUUGUUCUAUGUUAAUCUGUCUGAAUUGCUGCAACAAAAUAUCCUAGUCUGGUGGUAUAUAAACAAGGAAACAUUAUUUCACACAUGUUCGGAGGCUAGAAUGCUUAAAAUUAGAGAACUAACAGAUUGCUUGUCAAAUGAGAACCUAAUUCCUUACGGACAAUUGUUACUUCCACGCUCACUUCCCAUGAUGGAGGACUUGAGGGACCUCCUUCAAGUCGGCUUUGUGGAAAGACACGGACCCCACCCUUGAAGACCUAAUCACAUCCUAAGCAGGCUUCCUAGCACUGUCAUCUCAGGUCUGGGUUUCAACAAAUGAAUUGGACAGGACAUAAACAUUGACACUGAGACAGACCAGAUGGUCCACUCCUCCCUGGUUGCAUGAGGUAAGCGCUUUCAAGCAUAGCUAAGCAGAGUUAAGGAGAACCCAACGCUAUUAGAAUCCUUAGUUCUGGGCAGAGCUUUUGUUAUGCUUCCACUCUAAGCGAUCUCUUAAUGCUUUCUGUGAGUGAUUACAACUGCCAGAGUGGAGUCUUUUGCCAGGCUCUUUCUUUUUAGCUGGCAGCGUCAAGUGGGAAACUGUCAGUUAAGUAUUCCCUUUCCUGGCAAUGACUGGACUGCCCUUAUGACAGUCUGGCUGUUCACUCUGAGAACAGUCCAGCAGCUGCAGAGAACUACGCGCCCCAGCCGUGGCUAAUGGUAUUCUCCCGUCCUCAUCCCUCCAAAUAGCUUGCAUCAGCCUUGAAAAACAGAACUUGGAGUUAUCAAGUCCCACAGAUUUCUUCACCCAGACUAAAGGGGAGGCACUUCUACAUUCCCCAGCAGAAGGCUCAUGAUUGGUGCAGAUCAAAAUCCAUCAUUUGCAUCAAAGGCUGUUUGGUGCAAACAUUCUUAUUAUGAUUCUCUUCUGGUUGCCUGUGAAGACUGUUUGGUUGACCUUUUCAGUCAGCAAGGAGAACCCUCCUGUUCCGUCCUGGGGUGUUGCAACAUUUCCCAUUAAAAUGGUUCUCUGCGGUGAUCUCUUUUCAAUCAACAUGCUUUUCAUCUUAGCCAUCAGUAGAGUGAACUGAACUGGAAACAGAGACAGCAAAAUGGUAACACAAUGGUAGCAGCCAUGAAGGAAAGCAGAGGCAGCGGGGAGAAGGUGGCCGAAGAACAUCAAUGGGUGACCGGGGUAGAAAUAGCCAGGGGUAGAGACAUCAGAAACAAGAGUUAAUGGAAGUGUAGAGAAAGUGAGGGAGACGAGAGAACCAAGGAUGAAGGAAGAGAGAAAUCUGUGGAGGCAUAAGCCAAGAAACUGUGGGCCCUGGUUGUUGGAAGAGCUCCAGAGAGCUGCUGAGCAUAAAGGGCCAAGGAACCUCAUACUCUACACUCGAGAGCUUCCAUACCGACGACUGGAGUUGCUGCAGAUCUCAAUACCUGAGGCCUGCCCAGGGAGCCGACACACUAGCAACUGCUGCCUGCUACUAGGUGUCAGGGAUACAAUAGCUGCCAAGGGCUGGGGCUGCUGGUACUUAAAGCCUCCAGUCUAAGUACCUGAGAUACAGGUAUUUAGUUUUUAAGGCCUGGAGUAACAAACCUCUGGCUUACAGGAUUUGGAGCUGAACAACUAGGCUUUGGGCACUGAUAGGUCUGAGACUACAAACAUAAGAAAAGCUUCUCAGCUACCCAUAAUUUCUAUCAGGGUAGAGAGAAAACGAACCCAAGUAGCUGACUGGUAACAAUGCCAUUAUUCUCUGUUAGUAUUCUGUUUUGUGAGAGCAAAGGGUAUAGUGUAUAUAAGGGGUUGGCAAACUAUGUAAAAAAAUUUUUUUUUUGUUUUGAGAUAAUGUAGAUAGCCUUGGGUGGCCUGGAAUUCAGAAGGAUCGGCCUGCUUCUGCCUCCUAGUGAUUGGAUUUAAGGCAUACGCAGCAACACCUGACUCGGUAAACUAUGUUUUUAUGGACCAAGUUUAAUAAGUUGACUGGUAUGAAUAAAAUAUUGGAACGCUCACUCAUUUGCUUAGUAUAUGCCAGCUUUUAAAUGAUGACCGAGUACACUGGACAGUGAGGAAAUGCUGGGAUCUGAGAAGCUUACUAUUUCUUAUUGUUUACUUUACUUACUAUUUACUUAUUAUUCGAUCCUCAGAUACAAAGUUUGGUGGCUUCUGAGUUGUAUCAUUAGUGACCAUUUGCUUGGCUCCCAGCACUCCAGCUUUGAGCACCAUAAAGGUAAAGGGAGGCUCAUGUUGGAGAGCCCAGAAAUGGAACUUAACUUAGAUGAACGUGCAGAGGUAUUAAAAAGCGGCAUCUAAUGAGACAUCUGCAGGGUUUACAAGGUAAGAUAAGCCAGAGCACGGAAGGACACUUGGAGCAAGAGGGGAGUUUUGGGAGAUUUGAUAUUUAAAAGAAAACUUGAUGGUUCCAUAGGAGGAAGAGCUGAACAUGUGAGUAUUACCAAUAUCACUGUUAUAUGUUAAAUAAGGUUAAACUAUUCAUGUAUGAACUAGUAAUCUUAAGACUUUCCUAUAGCUAACUAAGCAUAUAAAAUUAGAUGCUGUUUACUCUUUCAGAGCAGAAGUCACAGGAUUUAUAUUUUUGUUUGUUUGUUUGUUUGUUUGUUUUGAGACAGUUUCAUGUAGCUCAGGCGGGUCCCGAACUUGCUUCGUGGAGAUGACCUUGAACCUGUGAUUCUUCGCCCUCCAUGGUCUGAGAUCACAGGCACACAUCAUGAAAUCUGGUUUUAGGUGAUGCUGGGAAUUGAACCAAGACUUACUUCCUGUGUGCUAGGUCAGCAGGACACUGAGUGAACCACAUGUCCACACCAGCACGUUUUUUUCUUAGAAGGAAAUUAGCAAACAAUUUGGGUUUUGCUAAUUCUGCCAUAGGCUUUUGUAUCUAUCAUUAUAGUGUGAAGGUCGCUAUAGUCAAUGUAUGUCAAUGAUCGCUGGUUAUGUUUUAACAAAAGAUUAUUUAUAAAUACUGAAACUUGAACUUCAAAUUAUUUUCUAAAAUAUUGGUAGUUUAGAUCUUUUUUAAUGAGUUAUUUAUUUAUGUACCAGAUCUGCUACUAGCUGAGGCUAGCCUUGAACUCAUGAUCCUCUACCUUCCAAACGCCAUGAUUAUAGGCAUGUAGCAGUACACCUUGCUUUUUUUUUUUAAAGCAAAUUAAACAUGUUAAAAUGAUUUUCUGGGGUGUGAAAAACAGGUUCAAGGGUGAAUUUGGCUUAUGUGCCACAAUUUGCAGAGCACUGUGUCAGUCUUACAUUUCUGGUGUGCAAAAUGGCAAUUUAUUUUCUCUACCAACCACCUGGGGUGUUUAUAAUGGAGGGAAACACUUUUGUCCUUGAGAGUUCUUCUCAUAGAGCAGCACACCCAGAUGAAAGAUAUCUCUCCUCUAGAGUCCUGAGAAUUUAUUUAAUUGUCUGCAGUUGCAAGAGAUACAAAUCUUUUGGAGGUUGACGAGAAAUUUAUCUUUUCCGUGAAUAAUUUUUGCUAAAAGAAGGAAUACAUUUUACACAUGCAAUAGACUCAAGAAUGACUGUAUCAUUCUAAUAUUUCUAGACCAUAAGUUGAUAGGUAGUUUCUUGCGCAGACAACAUUAUGUAUUGGUUGUAUUAAAUUGGAAAUUCUGUGUUGGACUUUACCCUACCCUUCUCAGCAAGUUUAUUUCUACUUCAUGGAGUUUGUAGGGUAGAUUGGACUUGAGAUAUAAUCAAAGGUCACCUUCAUUAGUUCAUUUUAGUUCUUGCAAUGCUGGUACUCACUGUCUUGGCCAGCAUUCCAUUACCAAGCCCUUUGCUCACCCCAAGUGUCACUCUUUUCUGAUUAUCACGCUCAUCUACACCCUUUGGAUUAUACUUUCCCAGCCCAGAAGAUUUCUUAGGCAAAUCUCAUAUACGUUUAGGUAAACAAACAGUUUUAAAAUUUAGUACAGUUUUGCCAUGGUGUGAAAAAGAUGCCAUCCCUUGUCCCCAUGUAUAUCAAUGAUCACUGGUUAUGUUUUAAUAAAACAUUAUUUAUAAAUACUGGAAUUUGGACUUCGUUUUAUUUUCUAACAUAUUGGUACUUUAGAUCUUAGGCUUACAUACUAGAACACCUGGUAUUCAGCUUGGUGGCAUUGUUUUGGACUGUUGUAGGUCCUGAGGAGUGGGUCAUUGGGAUCUGGCCUUUGAGGGUUAUGGUAUGGUCCUGGUUCCAGUUUUGUUUUAUGUGCCCCAUCUGCCACCAUGUUUAGAAGCUAAAGCCUCAAGCUCCCACUGCCAUGGAUAUGAGUUGCUCUUCCCCAUGUUUUCCACUGUGAUAGACUAAACUUUCCUAAAAUGGUGAACCAAAAGAAACAUUCUGUUCUUUAGGUUGUCUCUACAAAGCAUUCUUUCAGGACUGUGGGGGAAAUAAUUGACUUAAAACUUAAUCGAAAUACUAAUAUCUUUUGGGAGAGUGGAGUCAGUUUUCAUUAAGAAUGCUGAGAAUACCCAUGCUACAGUAGAUGGCCCUACACUCAUAUACAUACUGUCAGCCCUUAGCACAUGGAUUAACAAAACAAAGGAACACUCUUCUACUGCUGGUGGGAUUGCAAACUGAUAUAACCACUGUGGAAAUCAAUGUGAUAGUUCCUCAGAAAACUAGGAAGAGUUCUAUCUGAAGACCCAGCUAUACUACUCUUGGGCACAUACUCAAAAGUUGCCCCACUAUACCAUAAAGACAUGUGCUCCACCAUCUUCAUAGCAGCCUUAUUUGAAGUAACCAGAAGCUGGAAACAAACCAGAUGUCCCUCUACAGAACAAUAGACACAGCAAAUGUGGUUCAUUUACACAAUGAAAUAUGAUUUAGCUAUUAGCAAUGAGGACAUCAUGAGUUUUGCAGGCAAAUAGAUGGAACUAGAAAAUAUUCUAAGUGAGGUACCUCAGACCCAAAAGGACACGCAUGGCACGUAUUAGUGAAUAUUAGCCAAAAAGUACAGAGUACCUAGGAUACAAUCCACAGAUCCUACGAAGUGUAACAAGCAGA